ACAACAAAGAGUCCCUCCCGACUGUUUACCAAAAACACAGCACUCUGCUAACUCGUAAGAGGAUGUAUAGGGUGUGACGCCUGCCCGGUGCUCGAAGGUUAAUUGAUGGGGUUAGCAUUAGCGAAGCUCUUGAUCGAAGCCCGAGUAAACGGCGGCCGUAACUAUAACGGUCCUAAGGUAGCGAAAUUCCUUGUCGGUUAAAUACCGACCUGCAUGAAUGGCGUAACGAGAUGGGAGCUGUCUCAAAGAGGGAUCCAGUGAAAUUGUAGUGGAGGUGAAAAUUCCUCCUACCCGCGGCAAGACGGAAAGACCCCGUGGACCUUUACUACAGCUUGACACUGCUACUUGGAUAAGAAUGUGCAGGAUAGGUGGGAGGCUUUGAGUAUAUGACGCCAGUUGUAUAUGAGCCAUUGUUGAGAUACCACUCUUUCUUAUUUGGGUAGCUAACCAGCUUGAGUUAUCCUCAAGUGGGACAAUGUCUGGUGGGUAGUUUGACUGGGGCGGUCGCCUCCCAAAUAAUAACGGAGGCUUACAAAGGUUGGCUCAGAACGGUUGGAAAUCGUUCGUAGAGUAUAAAGGUAUAAGCCAGCUUAACUGCAAGACAUACAAGUCAAGCAGAGACGAAAGUCGGUCUUAGUGAUCCGGUGGUUCUGUGUGGAAGGGCCAUCGCUCAAAGGAUAAAAGGUACCCCGGGGAUAACAGGCUGAUCUCCCCCAAGAGCUCACAUCGACGGGGAGGUUUGGCACCUCGAUGUCGGCUCAUCGCAUCCUGGGGCUGGAGCAGGUCCCAAGGGUAUGGCUGUUCGCCAUUUAAAGCGGUACGCGAGCUGGGUUCAGAACGUCGUGAGACAGUUCGGUCCCUAUCUGCCGUGGGCGUAAGAAGAUUGAAGAGAUUUGACCCUAGUACGAGAGGACCGGGUUGAACAAACCACUGGUGUAGCUGUUGUUCUGCCAAGAGCAUCGCAGCGUAGCUAAGUUUGGAAAGGAUAAACGCUGAAAGCAUCUAAGCGUGAAGCCAACUCUAAGAUGAAUCUUCUCUAAGCUCUCUAGAAGACUACUAGUUUGAUAGGCUGGGUGUGUAAUGGAUGAAAGUCCUUUAGCUGACCAGUACUAAUAGAGCGUUUGGCUUAUCUUUAAUAAAGCAU
rnacentral:rRNA from 1 species